UGGGGAAUAUUGGACAAUGGGCGAAAGCCUGAUCCAGCCAUGCCGCGUGUGUGAAGAAGGCCCUCGGGUCGUAAAGCACUUUAAGUUGGGAGGAAGGGCUUACAGCGAAUACCUGUGAGUUUUGACGUUACCGACAGAAUAAGCACCGGCUAACUUCGUGCCAGCAGCCGCGGUAAUACGAAGGGUGCAAGCGUUAAUCGGAAUUACUGGGCGUAAAGCGCGCGUAGGUGGCUUGAUAAGUUGGAUGUGAAAUCCCCGGGCUCAACCUGGGAACUGCAUCCAAAACUGUCUGGCUAGAGUGUGGUAGAGGGUAGUGGAAUUUCCAGUGUAGCGGUGAAAUGCGUAGAUAUUGGAAGGAACACCAGUGGCGAAGGCGACUACCUGGACUAACACUGACACUGAGGUGCGAAAGCGUGGGGAGCAAACAGG
rnacentral:rRNA from 1 species